rnacentral:lncRNA from 1 species
CUUCUCCAUCCCCACAGUCACAGACAGGGCUGAACAAUCACAGGACUUGCUUGCUUUAAUAGAUAGCUUUUGGAAGGACAACAGAAAAACUCUUAGGUUCAGAGAACAGACUGCUCCAUGAAAAGAAGAGAUGGAGUCAUACACACUUAACCCCUUCUCCAGUUUCACCAGACAGGGUUUUGGAGACAUAUUACACAGAAGUGAGUCCGUGCUGCUGCACAUGCCCCAGCCUCUGAAUCUAGAGCUCAGUGCAGGGCCCAUCACUGGACUGAGGGACAGGCUCAUCUAAUUCUGAGUGGAUAUUACUCUGCAUUAUAAUGAAGCCAACAGUCAUAUCUUCUGAUGUGGAGAUUUGAGAAGCAUUUGUAUUGGAUGUGACCGUCAAAAUGCGCCCCAUAUCACUGCAACACCUACAAGUUUUCUUGCAUGGGGUGCUCAGACUUUCACCUCUGGCAAGUAUUACUGGGAGGUCCAUGUGGGGGACUCUUGGAAUUGGGCUUUCGGUGUUUGUAAUAAGUACUGGAAAGGGAAGAAUCAGAAUGGCAAUAUAUAUGGAGAGGAGGGACUCUUUAGUCUUGGGAUUGUUAAGAACGACAUUCAGUGCAGUCUCUUUACCACCUCCCCAGUUACACUGCAGUAUGUCCCAAGACCUACCAACCAUGUAGGAUUAUUCCUGGAUUGUGAAGCUAGAACUGUGAGCUUCGUUGAUGUUAAUCAAAGCUCCCCUAUAUACACCAUCCCUAAUUGCUCCUUCUCACCUCCUCUCAGGCCUAUCUUUUGCUGUAUUCAUCUCUGACCAGAGACAAAUCAGAAAUGUGUUUAUCUGCUGUGGGAACCCCUUUAUCCCAUAAAGCCCUCUUCCUUGUGCCUUAUCAAACAGGACAAAUAGGUUCUGUUUUAUGUCUUGAAUUGCAUUCUAAUGUUAUUAAAACUCAUUUAUUGUGUUACUAUUAAAUGUGGUAAAAACACUAAAA